AACAGGAAGUGCCAGAGACUGGGCGAUACUGUUUGAAGUGUGAGAGCAGAGCAGGAAAAUAUGAGCGGACUGUAAAAUCUGAGGCACGGUUCCUCCUCAGGCCGACAGACAGCGCCCAUGGACGGGCCUCAGGAGCUACACACCGCCAUCAAGAGCUCCUAAACGCGCCGAGAGAGGCCCCUUCCCCACGAUUCUUCCCGGUGGAUCGCUCACCUAUGAUGGAACGGGCGAUGGAGCAACUAAACGUACAGCUGAACCGGCUGACCCGCUCCCUGCGCCGGGCCAGGACCGUGGAACUCCCGGAAGAUAAUGAGACUGCUGUGUACACACUGAUGCCGAUGGUAAUGGCUGACCAGCACAGGUCUGUGUCCGAGCUCCUGCUCAACUCAAAGUUUGAUGUGAACUACGCCUUUGGUCGGGUGAAGAGAAGUCUGCUGCACAUCGCUGCCAACUGUGGAUCGGUGGAGUGUCUCGUCCUGCUGCUGAAGAGAGGAGCUAACCCGAACUACCAGGACAUCUCAGGCUGCACCCCACUGCACCUCGCUGCCAGGAACGGACAGAAGAAGUGUAUGGGCAGACUGCUGGAAUAUAAUGCUGACGUCAACAUCUGCAACAACGAGGGCCUGACUGCUAUCCACUGGCUGGCAGUGAACGGGCGGACUGAGCUCCUCCAUGAUCUGGUCCAGCACGUGUCCAACGUGGACGUGGAGGACGCCAUGGGACAGACGGCUCUGCAUGUAGCCUGUCAGAAUGGACACAAGACCACGGUGUUGUGUUUGCUGGAUAGUGGAGCUGACAUCAACCGACCCAACGUCUCUGGAGCCACGCCCCUGUACUUCGCCUGCAGUCACGGUCAGAGAGACACGGCUCAGAUCCUGCUCUCUCGAGGAGCCAAAUACCUGGCUGACAAAAACGGGAUCACUCCUCUGGAUCUGUGUGUGCAGGGAGGAUACGGGGAAACCUGUGAGAUCCUGAUCCAGCAUCACGGCAGACUGUUCCAGACGCUCAUCCAGAUGACUCAGAACGAUGAUAUCAAGGAGAACAUGCUCAGGCAGGUUCUGGAGCACGUCUCUCAGCAGAGCGACAGUCACUAUCAGAGGAUCUUAACCAGCCUCGCUGAGGUCGCUACGACCAACGGACACAAGCUGCUCAGCCUGUCCAGCAGUUACGAAGCUCAGAUGAAGAGUUUGCUGAGAAUCGUUCGUAUUUUCUGUCACGUGUUUCGUCUCGGUCCUUCAUCCCCGAGCAACGGCAAUGACAUGGGCUACAACGGCAACAAGACGCCUCGCAGCCAGGUGUUCAAGAAGGAGGUAAAGAUGGUCCAAAAAGACGGCUGUCCCUGGACAGGUUCUGCUGUCCUAGAUCCGCUGGAGCUGCUAUGGCACUCCCUGGACGAGUGGCUGGUCCUCAUUUCAACAGAGCUGGACAGGAACAGGAAGAACCCUUCCUCUUCCUCCUCCAGCAGCGAGAUCGCCUCUCUGCUCCUCAAACAACGGGAGGCUGACCCCUCCUCAUCCUCCUCCACGCCAAAGCUCCCCUCCUCCCUGCUGGACUCUCAGAUCGUCAUGGAAACAGAGGUGUACCCCGACGGAGAGGACGUCAUCUCCAUGACAGCCAGUCGCCUCAGUGCUGUGAUCCAGGCCUUCUACAUGUGCUGCUCCUGUCAGAUGCCACAAGGGAUGACGUCUCCUCGUUUCAUCGAGUUUGUCUGCAAGCACGACGAGGUGCUGAAGUGUUUUGUAACCAGGAAUCCAAAGAUCAUCUUUAACCACUUUCACUUCCUGCUGGAGUGUCCCGAGCUGAUGUCCCGCUUCAUGCAUAUCAUCAAAGGCCAGCCCUUCAAGGAUCGCUGUGAGUGGUUCUACGAGCAUCUGCUGGCUGGACAGCCCGACUCCGACAUGGUUCAUCGUCCGGUCAACGAGAACGACAUCCUGCUGAUCCAUAGAGACUCCAUAUUCAGGAGCAGCUGUGAGAUGGUCUCAAAGUCCACCAACGAGAAGCUCAAACAGGGCAUCGCUGUCCGGUUCCAUGGAGAGGAGGGCAUGGGUCAGGGUGUGGUGCGGGAGUGGUUCGACGUCCUGUCCAAUGAGAUCAUUAAUCCAGACUACGGCCUGUUCACACAGUCAGCAGACGGCACCACUUUUCAGCCCAACAGUAACUCGUCGGUGAACCCGGACCACCUGAACUACUUCAGGUUUGCGGGUCAGAUCCUGGGUCUGGCUCUGUAUCACAGACAGCUGGUCAACAUCUACUUCACCCGCUCCUUCUACAAACACAUCCUGGGUAUCCCGGUGAACUACCAGGAUGUGGCGUCCAUCGAUCCAGAGUACGCUAAGAACCUCCAGUGGAUCCUGGACAACGACAUCAGUGACCUGGGUCUGGAGCUCACCUUCUCUGUGGAAACGGAUGUGUUCGGGGCGAUGGAGGAGGUGCCGCUAAAACCAGGAGGGACCAGCAUCCUGGUAACCCAGGACAACAAGGCGGAGUACGUCCAGCUGGUGACGGAGCUGAGGAUGACUCGGGCCAUCCAGCCGCAGAUAAACGCCUUCCUGCAGGGUUUCCACACCUUCAUCCCUCCCUCGCUCAUCCAGCUCUUCGAUGAGUAUGAACUGGAGCUCCUGCUGUCGGGGAUGCCAGAGAUCGAUGUUCAGGAUUGGUGCAGGAACACGGAGUACACCAGCGGCUACGACCCUCAGGAGCCGGUCAUCAAGUGGUUCUGGAUGGUGGUGGAGAGCCUGACUCAGGAGGAGCGGGUCCUCUUGCUUCAGUUUGUCACAGGAAGUUCCAGAGUUCCUCACGGGGGCUUCGCCUUCCUGAUGGGGGGGAGUGGAUUACAGAAGUUCACUGUUGCUGCGGUGCCGUACACCUCCAACCUGCUGCCUACCUCCAGUACAUGACUCAACAGUUCUGCAUCUCCAGGAGAGACAGAUAUAUAUCUGAACACUAGAGGGCAGUGCGUCUCUUCUCUGCAGACGGCUCAGUUUGAAAUGAGGGACAGGUCUCUGCAUGACGGAGUGUGCAACAGCAUCAACAUGCUGAAACUCCCAGAGUAUCCGAGCCAGGAGGUCCUCAGAGACAGGCUGCUGGUAGCGCUGCAUUGUGGGAGCUACGGGUACACCAUGGCGUGAUUAUCGCGUCACUUCCUGCUGAGUCAUGUGACGCUCUGACCUCCUGCGCGGCGAUGUUUCUGCUUCUGCUGGAUGAAAAAGGGAAAUCUAGAUUCUACUGAACACGCUGCUGGAUGGAGAGGGACAGACUGAACAAGACCGGGAUCAGGAUCUGGUUCUGGAUCUCACCUCAUCUUACCUGUGCCAAAACUUCUGGUAUAUGAUGGAAGCUGGCAUCGGGUAACUUAUGCAAAAAUAAUCUUUAAGUAUGAAAAUGUUCAAGCAUUACUUAUUUAAGACAACCUGCAGUUCCACUAUGAGUCCUCUUACAGGAUGCUGAUCCCCAUAAAUAUCCUCCUGCAGAGGUCUGAAUGUAAACUGUACAAUUAUUCAUCGUCAAUCAAAUGCGUCAUAUCCAUAUCACAGGUUUGCAAAUUUCUUAAAGGGCCAUAGUCAGAUUGGCAUAAAGAUGGAACGAAUCUGAAGCUGCUUUUGUCUCUGUUUAAACAUCUCCCACUCUUUAGACCAGGUCCCAGAUUUGACAUGUUUAAGAUUCAGAGUGUCUGCAGCAGUUCUUCGUCCUGCAGCAGGUGAACAGGCUGUAACGUCUGCAACAUAAUCCCUGAUGGAUCAAAGCGAGUCCACUAAGAGAUCCUGUUUUGGUCCCUGACAGGCUCGGGUUGUUAUUAAGAGAACAGAAAGGAUCCCUGCAGGGAGAGAGCUUUACAAGAAAGAGGAAGAUGUUUUUAAAACAACAACACCAGCGUUUUGUGAGUGGAGUCUGGUGUCUUUAAAGUGUCAGAUCCUGAACAAUAAGGUCUCUCUCUGCAGGGAUCCCGUCUGUAACGUCUGAAAGCCCUGAAGUAUUUCUUUGCAGUCAUUACAGCCUGUUACACUGCUGCUGGAGGACGCUAACUAUGAGAGCAUUUCCAAAACUGUAUGUACCUUUACCUUAUGACCUAAAGAUACGUAACAAAUAGGCCAUCAAAACUAUAAAUUAAUACCCUGAUAGUUUUAUUACCAUUAUUAUAGAUUUCUUGUCACAUUCCCUCUGAGUCCAUCUCCCUGUUUUGAUACGUCUUGUUUUUCUCGCCCAGCAGCUUCACUCUGAACAUUUGUCAGAUGCUCGGCCAUUAUCUGUUUUCUUAUUCUUUUUUUUUUUUAAACCUUCUUGCGCUUUGGAGAAACCAGUUUUCUGUCUUCUGUUUACCUAAACUUGUUUGAAAUAUAGGAAAAACAACAGACGAUGUAGCCGAAAGUGUGUGGAUAUCAGAUGAGAGGUGACAGAGCUUUAUGCAUCAGGGCCUGUGUCUACUGACGGCAGCACAGUCUCUCUCCUUCUCUGUGCCUCUCUGUAUUCUGUUAUUGAGAUGUGGGAGUCGUCUCACAGCACUCCGACUCCCCUGACGGUUUGGUCUGUUUGCUCCAUAUUUGAUGUUAUUUUAGGAAAGUUGACAAAAAGGGACAAAAACAAUGGAAUCAAAAGAUGUCCUGGUGUCAGCAGCUCAGCUCUGCCCCUGGAAAUGUAACCCUUGAAAUACAAGUCUGAUUAGAUUUGAUUGGCUGUUAAAGGAGAAUUAAAAGUAACGCACGUCUGGUGUUCCAAAAGUUGAACCAUUGCAGCUGAAUGCAGCGACAAUAAACAGCCGACACCAAGGGCUCUUUAUUUGCUUCGAGUUUAAGUUUUUGUGCCUGUGGAAAAAACACAGUUAGUGGAAACAGGCCCUUACUGAGCUGCUCUAACAGCCUCCGCUCACCUGGUUCUCUGACUGCAGAAAUGACUGACGUGGUCGCUGAGAAAUCACCCUGGUGUUUGUGUCUUGCUGGUUUCAAGCCUCAAAAUUUUGCAUUUUGGCGGUCGCCAUCUUGUUUUUUGAACCAGAUAUGACCAAAUAUUCAUACUGAAAAUAUACAUUUAACUGACUCCUCAGAGUGUCUUCAGGUCCCAUUAUUUCUCCUUCAAAUUUGCCGGUUUGGUCACUUUCAGACAAAUACUUAAUAUUUGUCUCUGUGUGAGAAGACGACAUAAGUCACCUUCAUUUUGAUAUAAUGAGAUAAAAUAUCAGAUAAAUGAAACCGAUGUGUGGAGAUGUUUCUACAGAAGAGACGUUUUUUAAAUUUCUAAAUCUGUGAUCACAUUAAAAAAUUUAAGAAUUAAGUCAAAAUCUGAGAUUAAGGAUUUAAUGAGGAUUUUAAGAAGUCAUGAAAAAAUAUAGAUUUAAAAAAUGAAGUUGUCAAGAUUAGAUUAUGGAUCUCAAGACUGAAAUAAUAAUAGAAUAAAGAAUACAAUAAAAUGUCAAGAAUUGAAUAUGAAUAUAAAGAAAAAAGUUAAGAAAGAGAAAAAGUUGUAUUAAGAAUGGUCCUCUUAUUUAUUUUUAUUCCAAUUCUGGCCCUAAUAUUUAAAGUUUGAGUUAAUUCUCAACAUUUACAAUUUAUUCUGACACUUUUCACUUCAAAAUGUAAAAGAUAAUUUAUUUUAUCAUGUUUUUUUCUCGAUCCUUGUCCUGAAACUCAUCCAGAGUUUAUAUUUCUGUAUACGUUUUGACUUUAGUCAGACAUUACAGUAUCUCAGACUGAACUCCCACAAGCUGGAUUUUAUGUUUUAGGACUGAAAGUAAAAUCAAAGGAUGGAUGUCGGGUUGAACCCCAAGUUUUAAAUCCAUCUGCAUGAAUACUUCACUCUGCUGCGUUUGAUGCACGUGUCACGUGAUUUACUGUACGACAUGUUCUGUCUCAUCUGUACUUUCUGCUGUUCUCUGUGCUUCAUGAAUGAAUAUCAAUCUUCAGUUCUGAUCAUCUGUUCGUUUAACGAGAGGCCAUGAGAGGUUUCUAUGUGACGAAUGUUGGCCUGCUGUGCCAAACAUUAAAAGCUGGAUUUGUUUUGAACUCUUUAAUUUGUAUUUUGCCAACAAAAGCAUGCUGAAAUAUGUUUUCAUUCCAGAGGAGACGGGAGUGUGUGCAGAAUUUUAAUUUUUAAAGGGAGUGUACAUAUCGAGCUCACGUCCUCUAUCAGUAUUGUUUUCAAAGCCUGGACUGAAAUGCUUUUGUAAACUGCCUUUAUACAUAUUUCUGUAAAUGUCUUCAGUAUCAAAUGAUGUAUUUUACCAUAAAUAUACGUCCUCCCUCAGAUUUAUCCAAUAAAAGUGCUUUUUUGACAGA